rnacentral:rRNA from 1 species
AACGAACGCUGGCGGCAUGCCUAACACAUGCAAGUCGAACGAGACCUUCGGGUCUAGUGGCGCACGUGUGCGUAACGCGUGGGAACCUGCCCUUAGGUUCGGAAUAACUCCCCGAAAGGGGCGCUAAUACCGGAUAAUGUCUUCGGACCAAACAUUUAUCGCCUUUGGAUGGGCCCGCGUUGGAUUAGCUAGUUGGUAGGGUAAAAGCCUACCAAGGCGACGAUCCAUAGCUGGUCUGAGAGGAUGAUCAGCCACACUGGGACUGAGACACGGCCCAGACUCCUACGGGAGGCAGCAGUGGGGAAUAUUGGACAAUGGGCGAAAGCCUGAUCCAGCAAUGCCGCGUGAGUGAUGAAGGCCUUAGGGUUGUAAAGCUCUUUUACCCGGGAUGAUAAUGACAGUACCGGGAGAAUAAGCUCCGGCUAACUCCGUG